AUGGACAUUUCUGGUCCAAGAUGGAAGAAGGGCAAAGACGGCAAGGAUUUCGCGGCUCUGGCAGCAGCCCAACCCAUGUCAAGCAUUGUUGCCAAGCUCCGGUCUUCACUGAAAGGAUCAAAGCUCGUGGCGACUUUAUCUACCGGGGGCGGGGAUGCGGUUCUUGCCGUGAACCCGCAGCAAGCCGCGCUUCUGAGCCGCGCCGCCUUUGGCCGGGCACUGGAGAAUGCCGGAGCCGAGAAGCAGUGGUUCCAGCUGGGCGCCGAGGAGGUCUUCUACCUUCGCCAUGCUUUGGAGUGCAUCGUGGUCGAGUCAGCGAGCAAGGACCUGAUGAGCCAAGGGGAGCUGUGGGAUCACCUAUGCUCCGCAUCAGAGUCGUUUCCCGAGAUGUACAGGGCAUACUCGCAUCUCAGGUCGAAGAACUGGGUGGUGCGGUCAGGUUUGCAGUAUGGCACGGAUUUUGUCGCUUACCGUCAUCACCCGGCGCUCGUCCACUCGGAGUUUGCUGUGGUUGUGGUUCCGGAAGGAUCGGGGUUUGGCGGUAGGUGUGGCCGCCUGAAGGUGUGGUCUGAUCUACUCUGUGCACUCCGAGCUUCUGGCAGUGUGGCCAAGACGCUGCUGGUUCUGACAAUCUCCAGCAAUGUCUGUGAACUGGGAUCCCCAGAUUGUUUGGAACAGCUGGUUGUCCAUGAAAGAACCAUUACAAGGUGGAUAGCCCAGCAGUGCCGUGAGCAGCGAUGUGAACCACGCAGAGAAGAAGAAGCGUAUAAGGAAGAACAGGAUCGCACAGGAGAAACUGUAGUUUUCAACUAUUGGGGUGUAAUACUAGGCUUCACAGUUCUUUCUAGCCUACUUGUGUACAAGCUGAGAUUCCGACAAUAA
rnacentral:rRNA from 1 species